rnacentral:lncRNA from 1 species
GGCUAUCAGGAAACAACCCACUAGUUGAAAAAUCUCCCCUGCUCUUUCCCUAUUUAGAUCUGUUUGUAUUUGAAUCACUUCGUCUUCUUCUUCAUUUAUCAUUAGUUGAGCUAAUUCGUUUUCCAUUGAUGCAGAUGCAGAUAUCUACCUUGGCUAUCUUUCUUCAAAUUGUAGGAGACAAACGUGCAAGAUGCACCGACUUCAAACAGUAGAAAACAAAAAUACAGCAGAAAAACCUAAAACUCUUGCC